CUGCAAAGUCACGCUCAGUGACACAUUCUGGCCACAGUUUCCUCCAGGCUGAGUCUGGUACAUGACAUAUUUCCAGGCUUUCUCAGUGAGGCUGAUGUAGUGGAGGACAUUGAAAUGUUGUUCUAGAAUUCUUUUAGAGUUGAGGAUGUCUCUUCGGUGACAUUAAAACUCUGGUGAAGAGCAUCUUUGUAUAUAGAUUCUUCAAGUUGCAGAUCACUUGCUGCUGCAUGGGUUGCAAAAGACGGAUCAUGUUGGAGGAACUUGACUUUAUGAGGUCAUACUCAGCAUCCAUAUCAUCCACCAAGGCUGGAGGGUGUGCCAGGGCACUGAUAUCAGAAGAAGGCACCUCUCCAGCAGUUGGUUGUCAGAAAGGUGACUUUGUAUGUGUUCUACAGCUUGCUGUGAGAAUGGAUGCGAACAAGAAAGAAGCUCCUUCAUGAUGUGGGAAUCAUAAAUCUGCUGACUUCUACACAGGCGAUCUUCCUCAUUGUCAAGCUUCUCAUAUUCCUUUAUCUCUUCAUAAAACUUCACCUGAGGUACAGCUUCAUUAAUUUCAUUCAAACAAAAAUCUUUAAAUAGCAAGAAAACAAUUUUCUGAUUGAAAAUCUUGUCAAAGGUUAUUUCAUUUCUCUCCCCAAGAUAUUUCUGCAUCACGCUCAGAAUACUGGGCUCUGGCAGGACGAUCUUCUUGGUGGCGUGGGCGGCCGGCGUCGCCUUGCUAUUCUCCAUGGCCAUCAGGUAGCUCACAUCGGCCAG
rnacentral:lncRNA from 1 species